rnacentral:tRNA from 1 species
GUACCCGUAGCUCAGUGGGUAGAGCGCUGGCCACAUACACCCAGACUAGCGGGUUCGAAUCCUGCCAGGGCCA